AACUAAACCCGAUAUGCGUAGAAAGCGAGUUCUUCACGAGCUUAUAACAUUAGCGGGAUCAAAC
rnacentral:sRNA from 1 species